GGAGUUAGCCGGUGCUUCUUCUGUGAGUGAUGUCCUUCCUGCCGGUUAUUGACCCGCAGGCCUUCUUCCUCACUGAAAGUGCUUUACAACCCGAAGGCCUUCUUCACACACGCGGCAUGGCUGGAUCAGGGUUGCCCCCAUUGUCCAAUAUUCCCCACUGCUGCCUCCCGUAGGAGUCUGGGCCGUGUCUCAGUCCCAGUGUGGCUGAUCAUCCUCUCAGACCAGCUACGGAUCGUCGCCUUGGUGAGCCGUUACCUCACCAACCAGCUAAUCCGACAUAGGCUCAUCCGAUAGCGCGAGGCCCGAAGGUCCCCCGCUUUCCCCCGUAGGGCGUAUGCGGUAUUAGCCUGGGUUUCCCCAGGUUAUCCCCCACUACCGGGCAGAUUCCUAUGCAUUACUCACCCGUCCGCCGCUCGCCACCAGGGAGCAAGCUCCCCGUGCUGCCGCUCGACUUGCAUGUGUAGCGUCGCCGCCAGCGUCAUCUGAGCGAGAAUACAACUACUGA
rnacentral:rRNA from 1 species